AGGAUAGGCGAUAACGGCUAAACGACGGAUCAUGGAUUAUUUCAUAUUUGCUAAUUAGUAAUUACUGACCUUUUUUACCCGUCAGACACCAGUUAGUAUUUAAUAUUUAUUGAGCAAGUGAUUCAUUGCCCAUUCCGUUGACUACUUAUACAUUACUGCAAUGAUUUUAUCAUUGUUUUAGUAUUUAUAAUCAAUGGUUUUAGUUCCUACUGCCUAGUGCUAAGUGGUUACUGAUUGUGAAAUAAUUAAAUUUCCAACUGAAAUGAGUGAUUUAUGUACAUUUACCUCGAUGGAUGCGACAAGUCUCUUGGAAUUCGUCGGAAAAACUGUUGUUGUGCGUACAAAACAGCAACACGCGUCUAAAGGCGUCGUUCACACUGUGGAUCCUGUGACAAAAAGUGUCGUACUGCUGAUCAACAAACAAUGUGAAAUAUUUUCUGGAAUAAACAUCAAAAGUGUUGAAUUAGAAGAUUAGUAAAUUACAGAUAGAUUUUAGAGAAACUCAAUCUCAUCUUUACAUUUAUAUUAUAUUAUAUACAAGUACAAUACAAAAUAUAGUUAAACUUUGUAAUGUAAAAUAAUAUUAUAUUAAUUUUUAAUUGUAAUAUACAUUGUCAACAUCUGUUUAAGCUUAAUACCUAUCUGUCCUAUUAAGUUACUUAUCAUUUUUUUAUAUUCGGUUCAUGUCUAUUAUUGUAAUAUACAUUGAUCACCACCACUGCACGAAAAAAUAAAAUAAUUUAAUGCUGACCACCAUUGACAGAUAUUUGGUAAAAUAUGUUGGGGCUUAACCUAUUAUCAAAAUAAAGCAAGCCUCAACCUUCAUGUAACUAAUUAACCUCCCCCAAACAUGUUAUAAUAUAUUAAUGUAAAUAAAUAAAUUAUGUUGUAUUUA